GUGGGGAAUCUUAGACAAUGGGGGCAACCCUGAUCUAGCCAUGCCGCGUGAGCGAUGAAGGCCUUAGGGUUGUAAAGCUCUUUCAGCUGGGAAGAUAAUGACGGUACCAGCAGAAGAAGCCCCGGCUAACUCCGUGCCAGCAGCCGCGGUAAUACGGAGGGGGCUAGCGUUGUUCGGAAUUACUGGGCGUAAAGCGCACGUAGGCGGAUCAGAAAGUCAGAGGUGAAAUCCCAGGGCUCAACCUUGGAACUGCCUUUGAAACUCCUGGUCUUGAGGUCGAGAGAGGUGAGUGGAAUUCCGAGUGUAGAGGUGAAAUUCGUAGAUAUUCGGAGGAACACCAGUGGCGAAGGCGGCUCACUGGCUCGAUACUGACGCUGAGGUGCGAAAGCGUGGGGAGCAAACAGGAUUAGAAACCCCAGUAGUCC
rnacentral:rRNA from 1 species